rnacentral:rRNA from 1 species
CGACCUCAGAUCAGGCGAGACAACCCGCUGAAUUUAAGCA